CUACAGCACCUAACAAGGCUAGCCAAUGACUUUCCUGCCUUUUUUGCUUAACCGGUCAAAGUUGGCCUGUAACACUUCAAACACUUAAUGGCUCAUCUACAGUCUUAGUCAGCACCUAACAAGGCUAGCCAAUGACUUUCCUGCCUUUUUUGCUUAACCGGUCGAGGUUACCAAUAUGCUCAUACAAAUUUUUUCUCUUUUGGCCUGUAACACUUAAAUCAGUAAAAAAAAAAAAAAAAAAAAAGUAUUUAUGUAUGUAUAUUGAUAAACAAAAUCAGUUAAAAAAAAAAAGUACUAUUCUUUUCUAUUUUGGCCUGUAACACUUCAAACACUUAAUGGCUCAUCUACAGUCUUAGUCAGCACCUAACA
ensembl:lncRNA